rnacentral:rRNA from 1 species
GCGGGGACAAAGAAGAGGUUGUGUGCACUUAGGAGAAGGGGUUUAAAGAAACCGAGAGAAAUCAGGGGAGGGGAGGGCCGGAGAGGCGGGGUACGAGCUUGGGAGGUUCCUCUGUCGGUCGCUCCGCCGGUCCAGGGUUUAGAUAGAGUCAAGGAGAGGGCAGCCGACAGACAACGAGAAGAAGCUCUUAUUAGUACCAGUUUGUAUUUUCUUUCAGACAUUGUUACGUAAGGAAAAAACUCUUCUUUCGUUCUCAACUACGAAGACAUCUUUUAUUAAACCCCCGGUCGGGAGUGAACCACCUACUUGUUCUUGGUCGCCAUCUUCUUCUUUAACGUUGUAGUUGUGGCGGACUCCAAGUCUCUCUCCCUCCCUUGCUACUACGAAGACAAGACUAUCAUCUUUCCCUAGGCCCAAACGCUACGGUUUAAACCCUAAUAGGAGGAUUACGAGUUCUUGUUCUAGCAUUACGUAUAUACUUCGUACCUCGUAUAGUCUAACUUUACCUACUCAUGGGAGAACUGCUAAGUCAUCAGGUAGUUGCGUUCAAAGUCAUAGUAACCAAAUUUAGGAAGGGAACCAACCUUAUAAGUGGUAACUUUCUACGUCAGAUAACAAAAGGUACGAAAAACAAAAUAUUCUUCGGUGAACCUUUUUCCCAGAUUACACAAAUGUCACGUUCCUAAGUCUUUUACCUUCGCUCAAUUACUACCUUUGUUUACGCGUAAGAACUGAGUGUACCCUUUCCUAUCAUUUAGGCGAGUAUCAAAACGACAGUUUACAAUACUAUUAAACUUCUUAUUCUUUACUGUAUACCUUGUUAAUCACCACUUCGUUUGUCUUCUCCUGUAGUUCUUCUUAUCCGAAGCAGAAUCUCAUUGUUAGCUACGUGAUGCCACCAAUCGUAAGGUUCGAACGGGGAAGGGACCCGUACUACUUUCAGAACUAAGUUCCUUGGUUCCAUUAAAAGAACUUUACCAGUUUAACCAUCGAAGAAUACUACUCCUUUAACCACGUCAACAUAACCCAUUACGAGGUCCCUUACGAUUCAUAUGGAGUGGAUGUUAAGUCUUUCUUGAAGACGUAUACUAACGAAAAUUACACGUUUUUAUUUAAACAUUUCUUUAACCCCUACGUUUCAAGACGAACGAACAUCUGCUCAGUUCUCUACUUAGGUUUUCUCUCGUUUACUGUCACCAAUAAGCAAAACACCUGUUUGGACCAAAGUGAGCACUUGCAAAAGAACUAUAACAAGUACAGAGGCUAUGUAGAAGUUGAUGAGAUUUUCUCUUCAAUAGAAGACAAAACCGAGUUGUACCUAAUCAACACUUGUUAUAAGCACCUGUCCCCAUACUACCACGAUCAUUGUACGCACCUCUCACCUUACCAGAUGUUCGGUUCAAGUACCUUCUCACAGGAAUGCGUAUAAUGUAAGUGAUAAAACGAGUAGUUAACGUCGAACGAGAACAACGACGUAGAUUUCUUCAUCGGCUACAAGUGUGGAAAAAGCUAGUAGAACGAGAACAACAGUUGUACCAACACAGAAGUUCGUUCUCUUUACUACUCGACGUUCAAUUAGUUCACUGACUUUACCUCGUAGAUUAACUCGAAUCACUCGAACUUUGGUCUUCACCCCGAUUAGUUCAUCCUUGAAACGUCGCCGGAACACUGUGAUCCACCUCAAGAGUGAUACGAAGAUAGACGUCGGAAAACUUUGAUAUGUUUGGAUGUAAGAACCAUGAAUUUUCGUAACGAUGACGGUUUCCAAGUCCAUGGAGUGGAAGUCGUGCUCGUUUCCGAAUACCACGACAAUUCAACUACUACAGAAAACUGAAGUAUAAACCAGAAGUACAGUACUUUCUUGAAUACCCUUAGUGUCUGAACGAUACGUUUUUCAACGUUGUUUUUAGAGUUCUAUAACACUUACGGUACCUACUACAAUUUUGAUGCUUUCACAACUAAGUCCUUGAUUCUCUAUUACCAACCUUGUUCGAAUUUCGACUAUACGAAAGUAAAACACCCUUUGUACCUCAAGGUUGUGGUGUAAAGCUACUGGAGAUACACCUAAAGUAAUUGAGUGCACGCCUACUACUCUGAUGUCAACUCGUAGUAAUGGCCACACUGCAAAAGUACCAACAGCAACUAGUCGUUCGUGUUCUCAACUUAACAUCUAAGUUGUUUGUUCGUUGUUUCGAAGAUUAAAACACGUGGAGGAACCUGGGAUCAUUAAGUAAGUCUAGUAAAUUGUAACUAUUAUAUACAAGAGAUCGUAGUUUUAAGAUACGUCGACUAAAACUUCUUGUUCUUUCCUUGUUAGAUUCCACAGUCAACGCUGUAAUACUUUUACAACAUGGGUGAUUGGGUUUCAAAGUUUUAAACUGUUCAUAUAGUCUUGAAACAGUUGUUGAACGUCGUUGGUCCUUUAGCCUACUUAUAGUAAACUAACUAUCUGACUAAGCUGAACAAGAAUGAGAUAGCCAAAGUUGCCGUUGCUGUCUUGCACGUAAAAGACGGUACUUUGAACACUUCUGUUCCGAAGCCUGAUUUUACCUUCUACCUAAAGAUUCCCUAACGGAGCAUUAAAUAUAACUUUUCCUUUAACGCCGACCUUAUAGUUGUUUACGUUAAUAUCUACUCAAGCUACUUAGCAGUGCAGCUCACGGUAAAUGGAUUUUGAUCAAACAAGCAGAUAGAAAACAACAGAUCUAAAAAGAAAACCCGCUACUGGUUAAACUCUUCACAUGUAGGAAAACGACAGCUGUUACUUA